CCUACGGGAGGCAGCAGUGAGGGAUAUUGGUCAAUGGGGGAAACCCUGAACCAGCAACGCCGCGUGAGGGAAGACGGUUUUCGGAUUGUAAACCUCUGUCCUCUGUGAAGAUAAUGACGGUAUCUAACGAAUAAGCACCGGCUAACUCCGUGCCAGCAGCCGCGGUAAUACGGAGGGUGCAAGCGUUACUCGGAAUCAUUGGGCGUAAAGAGCGCGUAGGCGGGAUAGCAAGUCAGAUGUGAAAUCCUAUGGCUUAACCAUAGAACUGCAUUUGAAACUGUUAUUCUAGAGUAUGGGAGAGGUAGGUGGAAUUCUUGGUGUAGGGGUAAAAUCCGUAGAGAUCAAGAGGAAUACUCAUUGCGAAGGCGACCUGCUAGAACAUAACUGACGCUGAUGCGCGAAAGCGUGGGGAGCAAACAGGAUUAGAUACCCGGGUAGUC
rnacentral:rRNA from 1 species